AUUGAACGCUGGCGGCAUGCCUUACACAUGCAAGUCGAACGGUAACAGGUCUUCGGAUGCUGACGAGUGGCGAACGGGUGAGUAAUACAUCGGAACGUGCCCGAUCGUGGGGAAUAACGCAGCGAAAGUUGUGCUAAUACCGCAUACGUACUGAGGUAGAAAGUGGGGGACCUUCGGGCCUCACGCUAUUCGAGCGGCCGACGUCUGAUUAGCUAGUAGGUGAGGUAAAGGCUCACCUAGGCGACGAUCAGUAGCGGGUCUGAGAGGAUGAUCCGCCACACUGGGACUGAGACACGGCCCAGACUCCUACGGGAGGCAGCAGUGGGGAAUUUUGGACAAUGGGCGAAAGCCUGAUCCAGCCAUGCCGCGUGUCUGAAGAAGGCCUUCGGGUUGUAAAGGACUUUUGUCGGGGAGGAAAUCCCCAGCGCUAAUACCGCUGGGGGAUGACAGUACCUGAAGAAUAAGCACCGGCUAACUACGUGCCAGCAGCCGCAGUAAUAC
rnacentral:rRNA from 1 species